rnacentral:rRNA from 1 species
GUGUCAGCCGCCGCGGUAAUACGAAGGUGGCAAGCGUUGUUCGGAUUUACUGGGCGUACAGGGAGCGUAGGCGGUUCGGUAAGCCCUUUGUGAAAUCUCCAGGCUUAACCUGGAACAGUCGGAGGGGACUGCCGGGCUAGAGGGCGGGAGAGGAGCGCGGAAUUCCCGGUGUAGCGGUGAAAUGCGUAGAGAUCGGGAGGAAGGCCGGUGGCGAAGGCGGCGCUCUGGAACGUUUCUGACGCUGAGGCUCGAAAGCGUGGGGAGCAAACAGGAUUAGAUACCCUGGUAGUCCACGCCUUAAACUAUGAAUACUAAGUGUCGGCGGGUUACCGCCGGUGCCGCAGCUAACGCAUUAAGUAUUCCGCCUGGGAAGUACGGCCGCAAGGUUGAA